rnacentral:tRNA from 1 species
GGCCCGAUGGUCAAGCGGCUAAGACACCGCCCUUUCACGGCGGUAACGGGGGUUCGAUUCCCCCUCGGGUCACCA